CUAAAUCGCAUCGCAGUUUUCAACAAAUUUCACCGAAAACGGAAUCGAAGAUGAAAGCCGCAUCAAAAUUUUCAACGAAUUUCUGAGUUCUUCUCACAGAGAAUCCAAACACAGUUUCAUCGCAUUUCACCAAACCCUUUUCACCGUCGCAGUGACGACAACGAAGCUGAAGAAUGUUCACCAUCGCUCGGUUCACAUGACGACAUCGCAUUGGUAAAACGAAGGGUGAGAAUAAGGGUUAUUGUUGUGGGUUUUGCAGCGUGUGAAUCUCGGUUCUGCAAUGGUGUGAAAUGGGUUUUUUGCUGCAGAUGAAAAAAUCUCCAUGUUCUCUGUGUUGUCGGGUCAAUUAUACAGUGAAAGGAACCAUAACUCAAAUCUCCAACUGUGGUGGCUCCAACUGUUGCUGUUGCUGUAGGUUUAGCAUUCUUCAGCUAUGGAUUUCCACAAGCUGGCACUUGCGUUGAGUAACACUGGUUUUGAAAAUCUGAGGUGAGAAACACUGUUGAGACAGCGGUAAAGUUGUUUUUCGUAUAAUCAUCAGAGGGAUUACUCCUUUCUCCCAGCACUUUGCAGCUGAACCAACACCAUGGAGGGACAAUCUUCUAAUGAAGGUUCCAGUACCGGCAAUGUCUCAGCAGACUCUUCUGAUUCAACUGUUCAGCUCAAUAUUAAAACUUUAGAUUCCCGCAUCUACAGUUUUCAAGUUGAAAAAAAUAUACCCGUUUCCUUGUUCAAAGAAAAAAUUGCUAGUGAAAUAGGUGUACCGGUUAAUCAGCAACGACUCAUAU